GACGAACCGAGCGAACGUUGUUCGGAAUCACUGGGCUUAAAGGGCGCGUAGGCGGGCUGUCAAGUUUGGGGUGAAAUCCCACGGCUCAACCGUGGAACUGCCUCAAAUACUGACGGUCUCGAGGGAGGUAGGGGCGAGCGGAACUGAUGGUGGAGCGGUGAAAUGCGUUGAUAUCAUCAGGAACUCCGGUGGCGAAGGCGGGUCUCUGGGCCGUAACUGACGCUGAGGAGCGAAAGCGUGGGGAGCGAACAGG
rnacentral:rRNA from 1 species